rnacentral:rRNA from 1 species
GAUGAACGCUGGCGGCGUGCUUAACACAUGCAAGUCGAACGGAAAGGCCCAAGCUUGCUUGGGUACUCGAGUGGCGAACGGGUGAGUAACACGUGGGUGAUCUGCCCUGCACUUCGGGAUAAGCCGGGGAAACUGGGUCUAAUACCGGAUAGGACCACAUUUUGGAUGGUGUGGUGGAAAGUUUUUCGGUGUGGGAUGAGCUCGCGGCCUAUCAGCUUGUUGGUGGGGUAAUGGCCUACCAAGGCGUCGACGGGUAGCCGGCCUGAGAGGGUGUACGGCCACAUUGGGACUGAGAUACGGCCCAGACUCCUACGGGAGGCAGCAGUGGGGAAUAUUGCACAAUGGGCGCAAGCCUGAUGCUGCGACGCCGCGUGGGGGAUGACGGCCUUCGGGUUGUAAACUCCUUUCGCUAGGGACGAAGCGUUAUGUGACGGUACCUGGAGAAGAAGCACCGGCUAACUACGUG